UACGUAGGGGGCGAGCGUUGUCCGGAUUCAUUGGGCGUAAAGAGCUCGUAGGCGGUUUGGCAAGUCGGAUGUGAAAUCUCUGGGCUCAACUCAGAGAGGCCAUUCGAGACUGCUAUGACUAGAGUCCGGUAGGGGACCAUGGAAUUCCUGGUGUAGCGGUGAAAUGCGCAGAUAUCAGAAGGAACACCGGUGGCGAAGGCGAUGGUCUGGACCGGCACUGACGCUGAGGAGCGAAAGCGUGAGGAGCAAACAGG
rnacentral:rRNA from 1 species